UGUGCAUAGUGUUGGCUUAAACGGCUAGCAUCCGGCCUUAUAGUGGGAGGUCAAGUUCGGCCAAGUCUUAAUCGAAAUGGUAUGAAGUUGGUUAGAUCUCACAAUCGAGAUAUAUACGCGGCGCUGUGUCUGUACGUUUUAAGUGAAUUAGUCGCUCAUUUUUGUCAACUUGAGGUUUUGAGAUAAAUGAUUAACAUCAACGAUCUGACAACUGGUAUCAGAACGGAGAUUGUUGACCUAAAGGGGCCAAUAUCCUCGUCCUGCAAUGGGAGGCCAAGUUGGACCGACUCAUGUUUGAAGUGAUACGAGGUUAGUUGAGCCGAGUCACAAUCGGAACCCAUAGGCACUAUAUUUGUACGUUUUAAGUGAAUUGGUUGUAUAUUUCUAUCGGCCUGAGCUUUAGGGGUUAAUGAUUAGCGCCAACAAGUUUUUGUAAAUAAUGAUUAACGCCAAUGAUUCUACACAUAGAAUUUCAAAUCAGAAAGCCCUUAUUGAGAGUUCAAUUUAGAGCUGUGGUUCAUAAGCACUAACAAACUAUCGCAAAAGUACGUGCUGAUAGGAUGGGUGCACCCAUCGCACUUAAAGGCUCAACCAUAGCGCUUGCGGGCUUUGAUCUGAUUCAAACCACUUGGAUGUUGAGUCUAUUGUUGGCUUUCUUGCUGUUAGGUCUCUUUUGGACCACAGACCGACUCACCUUAUUAGGUUCACCCAACUCGACUUAUCAGUCUCUGGGCCUAUUGUUACUGGAUAGAAAGUUGGACCUAUUUUAGCCUAAUAAUAAAUAGCCAACAAUAGCUUGUUUGGUAACAACAAAGUCAAAUCCUAGUGCAAGCCUAGACUUUAGCCUGUGUGAGAGAACUUGACAACGUCACCGAGAGGGAGGACGAUGCUAAGGGUGGGAACAGCUUGUUCCCACCCUUAGCAGGUUAGGUGGAAUAGGGGUGGGAACAAACCGUUCUUACCCUUUUUUUUUAAUUCAAAAUUUAAAAAUUUUAAUUUUAAUUUUAAUUUUAAAUUUUAAAAUUUUAUAAUUUGUAAUUUCAAAAUUAAAGUUUAUAAUUUUAAAUUUUAAUUUGGUAUUUUAUAUUUUUUAAAUUUAAAUUUUGAUAUUUUAUAUUAUUAAAAUUUAAAUUUGAUCUUAAAUUUUAAAAUGUAAAAUUUAAAAUUUAAAAUUUGAAAUUUAAAAUUUAAAACUUAAAAUUUAAAAUUUAAAUUUUUGAAAAUUUAAAAUUUAAAAUUUUAAAAUUUAAAAUUUAANAGCUAAAUUUUAAAAAUUAAAAAUUUAAAUUCAAAUAUAACAAGAGGGAUAAUAUUAUUUUUUCUAUUUAUAACUACCCACUAUUCUUUUUAUUCCAUCUUUUCUAUCCAAACACUAUUUUUCUUACUCCCGGCAACAAUUAUUUUUUAUCUAAAGACAAAAUUGGUUUAGUUCUUGUUUAUAUCUAAACUUGUAUUUAUUUUUGAAGUAAACAGUUUUUAUUUAUAUCCGAACGAAAUGAAGCCUAUAUGAACUCAUGAGUUU
rnacentral:lncRNA from 1 species